AAAGGGAGACCUAAUUCAGGUAUAAGACGAAAAAAAGUAGUCCCUACCAAGAAUCAAUCCCAAAAGGUCGGAACGAGGUAUGAGGCUUUCAAACUAGGUUCUGGGUUCAUAAAAGACCUGAAUCAGGAACAAGGGCUAUUAGCUCAGGUGGUUAGAGCGCACCCCUGAUAAGGGUGAGGUCCCUGGUUCGAGUCCAGGAUGGCCCACCUGCACAGGUGGCAAAAACAAGAGAAGCGAGGAAUCAGCACCUUAUCUUAUAUACAUAUAUAAGAGAGAAUGCUGGCUCUGAGUACAGAGUCCAGAGGAACCUUGAAAACUGCAUAGAGCUAGGUGAAAAAGCCAAAAAAGAAGACCGCAAG
rnacentral:tRNA from 1 species